GCCAAAAAAGAUACGGAUCAAAAUUUAAAGAUACGGAUCAAAUUUAAGGUUUGAUUUAUUUAGUCUCUAGCGAUGUGAAAAUGCCAAAUGCAUCAUCCAAAGACACCAAUGCGACCACAAUUUCACACCCUUCUCUCUUUCUCUCAUCAUUAUAUUGCAUCUGUUUUGUUCUGCAAAUUUGGGGAACUCAACUUUCAUGGAGUUUAUGUACAAGAUUACGACACUAUUCUGAAGUGGAUUCUGCAUAAGCAACAUUAAAGGUGCAUCAAGGUGUGUGCUUUGACAAUAUAAUCUGCAGCUAAAUAUAUUUUCUACCCCCACAGAUAGAAAAGGUGAAUGGAAGAGACACCGGACGGGCACAUUUCGUAAGGUAUGUUGAUGUAAAGACUAUACAUGAUUUGGUUUGGAAAGUAAACUGAACUGUUGUUACAGCAGUUCGAUAAAACUGAACCGAACCGUUAAUGGUUCGUGAGUUCGUCCAGAAUCAAACCGAACUGGUAUAUAGGUUCGGUGCACCAGUUCUGUGGUUCCAAACCGGAAUUACCUCUACCAAAAAGUGAACUAUGCUUUUUCGAACCGAACUUAUUCUUUGUGGACUGAACUGUACCAAAUUGUUAUUAUUAGGACUGUUAGAAAAAACCAAAAACCGAACCAAAUUGAAUUUGAACCGUUAAAAUGAAUUGCACUAAAAAGCACCGAACUGUGAUGGAUAGUUCACAAACUGAACCCAUUUGAACUGGUUACUUGAAUCACUUCAUUUCGUGAACUCUUGGUCACAACUCGGGAUUUUUUUUGCUGUUCAGUUUUUGGUUUUUUUGACAGUCCUAGUUGGUGUUAUUUGUUAGUUUUUCAGCAACAGGGAAAAAAUUGCUAUUGGUAAGUGAAUUAAUCCCAUAAUUGGAAUCUUUUACCGGUUAUUUCAGUAGCUGCCAGGUAUGUUGAUACGAUUCAUAUGUACUUAUUACCCUAUUUCCAUUCA